AGGAAAAUGCAGACUGAAUAUAUGAUUUCAAUCGAAACAUAGUCAAGCAUUAAUGAUUUCCACUAACGUAGUAAGAAUCUACACAAGGAUCGUUGCUUGUCACGAGGUUAUCAGGAUAGAAAAGAUUUGCGAUAAUCAAUGAUGUGUAUGCGCACACGCCAAUGAUUAAAAUGCGAGUCUCUUGCGAUUAUUACGAAAAGACUCUUUCGUUAUCGUAUGUUAUUAAUCAGAACAGUGUGCCGUAUUAAUAGAAGAAAGUCGUUUGCUGACAUUAAAGAAAAUUGUUUCGAGUAAUAAUACGAAAUAGAAAAAAACGUGAUUUUAAUUUACCAGACCCGAUCAUCGUUCGCAACAAUAAAAAAUGUGUUCAUCUUUAAAUCACGACGCAUUAUAGUUUUUCUUAAUUCGAAAGGAGUGAUUAGAAUUACGUGCUUAUUUUUCGUUAACAUUUAUUUAAUGAUUAGGAUUUGAGAAAGAAUUGCGAAGGAAUAGAUCUAAUGUCGAAUAGAUGCACUGUAAUUUUGUAAAGAUGAAAAAAGAAAUGCUAUUAAAGUUUACGAAAUAUCCAGAUUAUCAUCUUGUUCUUCUUCUUUGUUUUCUUCUUUAAAGAAAAUAACGAAUAAGUAAUGGCGAGUUGAUCGGUAAGGUUAAAUCCAAUGGAGAAAUGAGUGUCGAUGAUUUGAGUCAUCAGGUCAAAGGGUUAAAAUCUUUGAGUGUCGUUCGUUCGGAGUAACGUUUCAGCUUGGCUUGUUCGCCUAGAAAUGACAAGAAAAGGCAAACCGUCGUGGAAAGAAAGAGAGAGAUAGACAGAGAGAGAGAGAGAGAGAGAGAGAGAGAGAGAGAGAGAGAGAAAGAGAGAGAGACCUCAAGAAAAGUCACCAUCCUGAUUGAUCGUUGUGAGAAAAACGAUGCUCCGCAUAACGGUAAGACUCGCGAGGCGGGCUUUACCCUUCAUGGAAGCGGUCUUGGAUGGCCCGAAUAGAAGUCGUCACUACCGCCACCGUUUGCAGGUUUAACGGUCCUAAGAAAUUUUCAGGCACUCGACCAAGAACAUAUCUUUCGCCUUAGUACAUCGGACCGUCCAUUAAUCCUUUCGCUCCUAACAAAUUGGACACGGUAUGUGCGAUCUUUGCGAUGAAUUUGUCCUAAGCCAAUGAUCAACAGAGAAAUAUUGAAUAGUCGUGGACCGAACAAAUGUUUUACCUCUACUUUCAUGUAAAUAUUACCCAUGACGAAAUUUUAUUAAGUACUAAAUUAAUUUUCCCAAUUGAUUCAAUAAAUAUACCACCAAUUUGUUA